CAGUCCUCACAUAUGCUCAGAUAGAGGCCAGGCAGAAACUGCUGAGCUGAGCUGCUGCAACCAUAUUAAAGCAGUGUUGGCCACACAGUCACAAUCCGUCACCUGGGGAUGUUACAAACCAUCACUUGGUCACAUUGCAAAGCAUCACCUUCACGCAACCUUGACUAGGGGACUUCAGCACUUGUCUCACCCAGAUGUCACAAUCCAUUGCUGAGUCAUCACAGUGAGCCAUUCUUACCUGCAGCACGUGCAUCAGCAGCACUCCAGACCCAGCACAAGUUCUCCAACACUACUGCCCACUCCAUUCCCUGCAUAUCAUGUGCUUGGCAUCAGUGUUUCACACCAACCACCAAGGCCUUGGCCAUGUCUUCCCAUGGGCCCCAUUAGGUCACUCUGGCCAUGGCACUCAGAUCCAGAAGAAACUGCAUUGUGCUGCAGAGCUUGGAAUAGCACAAAAGGGUGAUGGAAGCCAAGGACACAUGCCAAGUGAUGGCGAGGGAUUGCCCUGGAUUUCCAAGCUCAACUGAUGAGAUGCCAGGCAAUUUUAUUUUAAUUCCAUAACAAUGAAUUACAGCCUGCUCAUAGUCUGUUCUAUUCCUUCUCCAGCUCAUUUCUUUGUGGAAGGAUAAUUAAAGAGUGGCACAUCUAAAAUUUCAGUUAUCUACGGUUCCACCUGUGUUAAGCAGUUUGAUUUAUUUAUACCUAUUGUUACACAUUUAAAUUGAUAUUUAUUUUGCUUAGUAUAAGACAGUAAGAGUUGAAUUCUGUGCACUGCUAAGUGUGUAAUGUUUGCAAAUAUAAAGCUACUGUUUCUGCAUAUGACUCAGUUCAGUUAAAGCUGGUUGUAUCUUGCAGGAAUGCCUUCCAGUCAUGUUCUUAUUCUGUGCCUGGCUUUUAUAUAGGUCAGUAUUUCAGUUGCAGUUGGGUUUGAGUUCUGCCAGAUUCACAUUGUUCUUGUUUAAAUGAAGCCUGUAGUUUUCAAUUUCACUCCAAUUCUCAUUAAGAAAAUGUGAAGCUUUCAGCACUUGUUAAAGCAUAAGCUGUACAGCACCAAUAGUAUCC
rnacentral:lncRNA from 1 species